GCCUAGUCAAGAUGAAGCCAGAGGAAACUCUGGUGGAUGUCUGAAGUUAUUCUGACGUGCAAAUCGAUAAUCUGAUCUGGGUAUAGGGGCGAAAGACUAAUCGAACCAUCUAGUAGCUGGUUCCUUCCGAAGUUUCCCUCAGGAUAGCAAGCGUACAUUUUUAGUUUCAUCCCGUAAAGCGAAUGAUUAGAGGUAUUGGGGCAUAUAUAGCCUCAACCUAUUCUCAAACUUUUAAUGGGUGUGAGUGUUCUUUCUUAAUUGAAGAACGCUGCUAAAUAAGUAUGCUUAGUGGGCCAUUUUUGGUAAGCAGAACUGGCGCUGUGGGUUGAACCAAAUGUUGAGUUAAAGUGCCUAAAGCUGGAAUGCGCAUGAGAUCUAUAAAGGGUGUUAGUUGCUGAAGACAGCAGGACGGUGGCCAUGGAAGUCGAAC
rnacentral:rRNA from 1 species